rnacentral:SRP_RNA from 1 species
GUUGACUAGGUGGGGGCCCAGCACGCCCUUGUAACCGCUAUGCUAUAGGCGGGCCGAACACUUGCAUAAGGGUUCUCGCGGUAAGGUUCUGUGUGUAUCCAGUGACGUUGAAGCAGGGGUACUCGCGCAAGGGACAAGUUGUGAACCGUGUCAGAGGAGGAAUCAAGCAGCACUAAGCAUCAUCGUAACUGUGCAGCAAGAAAACUUCCGCCGAGCCACAGGCUAGAUAUCAGUACCUUGCCAUACGUUCUCGAAUCAAGCGUCAAC